GCCCCCUCGCCCGUCACACAACGCACGUUCGUGGGGAACCUGGUGCUAAACCAUUCGUAGACGACCUGCUUCUGGGUCGGGGUUUCGUACUAGCAGAGCAGCUCCCUCGCUGUGAUCUAUUGAAAGUCAGCCCUCGACACAAGGGUUUGAUUUCUGCAGGCCA